rnacentral:rRNA from 1 species
CACGUAGGCGGCGCUCUAAGUCAGGUGUGAAAUCCCCCGGCUCAACCGGGGAACUGCACCUGAUACUGGAGUGCUCGAGGACGGUAGGGGUGAGUGGAACUCCAGGUGGAGCGGUGAAAUGCGUAGAUAUCUGGAGGAACACCGGUGGCGAAAGCGGCUCACUGGACCGUCUCUGACGCUGAGGUGCGAAAGCUAGGGUAGCAAACG